UUUCCGUAGGUGAACCUGCGGAAGGAUCAUUACAGAGUUCAUGCCCGAAAGGGUAGACCUCCCACCCUUGUGUAUUAUUACUUUGUUGCUUUGGCGAGCGCAAGCUCGCCAGGGAAUACCAAAACUCUUUUUAUUAAUGUCGUCUGAGUACUAUAUAAUAGUUAAAACUUUCAACAACGGAUCUCUUGGUUCUGACAUCGAUGAAGAACGCAGC
rnacentral:misc_RNA from 1 species